UACAGCAGCCAUGUCACCCUGGAACUCACAACUGGCAGCCCACUGAAGCUAAGCAGGUGUGAGCCUGGUCAGUACCUGGAUGGGAGAGCUCCUGGGAAAAACUAAGGUUGCUGCUGGAA
rnacentral:rRNA from 1 species